GAGGGGACCACAGGAAGGUGCCAACACCAGGAGGCUGAGAUCGUGGGGACUGUCUCAGUGUUUCCACAACAGGGCAUUUUUCAAGGAGGCCAAAUGGCAUUUGAUGUUCAGAAACCCACCUCUCUGACAACAGCCCACCUGAGCACAUGGAGAGUUUCUCUGUCCUGUGGAAAAGUUGGAGGUAUAGCUGUCACUCUCAUGUUCGGAGCUGCUCUCUUUCUGAGCCAUCAAGAGCUUGCACACCGUGAGAGAUGCGUUUGGCCUGAGUCCCCAUCGGGCCUACAGCCCCCCACCUUCAUGUGCACCUGGCCUCUAGUCAUGUGUUCUCCUGCCUCGGAAGAAAUGGAACUCCAUCCUGAAGAUAAAAGAUUUCUGCUGCUGGGCUCACUUGAAGAACUUUCUGACUUACAUGAAUAACUAGCAUGGUAUAAACACACUUUAUCUGAAUACAUGCUUUCUUCUUAUUCCUGUAUGCUCUUUUGAAGUCAGAGAUAACAUGUCUUCAUCUUUUAUUUCCCCAGCAUGGCCAGAGACUUGUAUACAGUGGGUGCUAAUUAAGUAUUUGUUGAAUUGAACUGGAAAGCCAAAGUGAAAUGCUCUCAGUCCUCGCAAUGGGUUGUUCCUUCUGUGUUUAAAAUCUCAUUCCAGAGCCACACUGUGACCGUCUACGUGAAUCGUGCAUAUCUAUGUUACCUCCGCCUCUCCUGAUGCAGCAAAAGCAUUUAACAAAAGCUGCACCUCCCAUUCGGAAGCCUGCCUUCUUACUGGGAGGACAGCUCUCGUGUGUACAUUCAUUCCUUGCUGGAGAGGUGGGUGUUGGGUGGAGUUGGGGGAGGGAGAAGUUGUUAAAACACCAUGGGAAC
rnacentral:lncRNA from 1 species